AGAGUUUGAUUCUGGCUCAGAACGAACGCUGGCAGCGUGGAUUAGGCAUGCAAGUCGAACGGAAUCCUUGAGAUUCAAUCUUUCGGGAAAGGAUCUCUUGGUGAUAGUGGCGAAAGGGUGAGUAACGCGUGGGUAAUCUACCUUUAAGUUGGGGACAACUCCGCGAAAGCGAAGCUAAUACCGAAUGUGGUCGUUUUUCGCAUGAAAGACAGAUUAAAGGUGGGGAUCCUUCGGGACCUGCCGCUUAAAGAGGAACCCGCGUACCAUCAGCUAGUUGGUGGGGUAACGGCCUACCAAGGCUUACGGUUAGCUGGUCUGAGAGGACGAUCAGCCACACUGGGACUGAGACACUGCCCAGACUCCUACGGGAGGCUGCAGUCGAGGAUCAUUCGCAAUGCGCGAAAGCGUGACGAUGCGACGCUGCGUGGAGGAUGAAGGCCUUCGGGUCGUAAAACUCCUGUCAUGAGGGAAAAGCCGUACGUGUGUGAAUAGCACGCGUACCCGAUGGCACCUCAAGAGGAAGCCACGGCUAACUCUGUGCCAGCAGCCGCGGUAAUACAGAGGUGGCGAGCGUUGUUCGGAUUCACUGGGCGUAAAGCGUGCGUAGGUGGUUUCGUAUGUCGGACGUGAAAUCCCACGGCUCAACCGUGGAAUUGCAUCCGAAACUGCGAUUCUAGAGUACAUGAGGGGAGAGCGGAAUUCUUGGUGUAGCGGUGAAAUGCGUUGAUAUCAAGAAGAACACCGGUGGCGAAGGCGGCUCUCUGGAAUUUUACUGACACUGAGGCACGAAAGCUGGGGGAGCAAACAGGAUUAGAUACCCUGGUAGUCCCAGCUGUAAACGGUGCGCACUUGGUGUGGGGAGUAUUGACCCUCUCCGUGCCGGAGCUAACGCGUUAAGUGCGCCGCCUGGGGAGUACGGCCGCAAGGUUAAAACUCAAAGAAAUUGACGGGGGCCCGCACAAGCGGAGGAGCAUGUGGCUUAAUUCGAUGCAACGCGAAGAACCUUACCUGGGCUUGACAUGUAGCUGCACGCCUCCUGAAAGGGAGGAAGCCUUCGAGGGUGCUACACAGGUGCUGCAUGGCUGUCGUCAGUUCGUGCCGUGAGGUGUUGGGUUAAGUCCCGCAACGAACGCAACCCUUGUGUUUAGUUGCCACUCCCGGUGAUGAGCCGGGAAGCACUCUAAACAGACUGCCCGUACAAGCGGGAGGAAGGUGGGGACGACGUCAAGUCCGUAUGGCCCUUACGCCCAGGGCUGCACACGUGCUACAAUGGCCGGUACAGAAGGUGGCAAGACCGCAAGGUGGAGCUAAUCCCCAAAGCCGGCCCCAGUUCGGAUUGCAGUCUGCAACUCGACUGCAUGAAGUUGGAUUCGCUAGUAAUGGCGCAUCAGCUACGGCGCCGUGAAUACGUUCCCGGGCCUUGUACACACCGCCCGUCACAUCAUGAAAGCCGUCUGCACCCGAAGUCGCUGAGCCAACCCGCAAGGGAGGCAGGUGCCGAAGGUGUGGGUGGUGAUUGGGAUGAAGUCGUAACAAGGUA
rnacentral:rRNA from 1 species